rnacentral:rRNA from 1 species
UACGGGGGGGGCAAGCGUUGUUCGGAAUUACUGGGCGUAAAGGGCUCGUAGGCGGCCAACUAAGUCGGAUGUGAAAUCCCCAGGCUCAACCUGGGAACUGCAUCCGAUACUGGAUGGCUUGAAUUCGGGAGAGGGAUGCAGAAUUCCAGGUGUAGCGGUGAAAUGCGCAGAUAUCGGGAAGAACACCCGUGGCGAAGGCGGCUCUCUGGGACGGUACUGACGCUGAGACGCGAAAGCGUGGGGAGCGAACAGG